CUAGAAGUGAGUGUUGGGAGUCAAAUUUGAGACCUGUCAAAUUGAAUGAAUCUCUCUUACCCCCUCAAUCAACCCCCUGGUAGCAUUAUUUCUUUUAAACUUUCUUGAUAUAAUUAGGAAGAAAAGGAAAGGGAAACUGCAAUCAUUUUCUUUGAUCACCAAACAUAAAACAAAGCAAAUACAUGGCAGGUGUAAGCGAUGCAUGCCCAGCGGCAUUAAACAUUUCGCACCCCGAAAUUCAACCUCACAUUCAACACCCUUCUACCAAAACUUACCCUAGCUAGCUGCCUCGUAUGCAUCUCUUACAUCCCAUGUUUUAUUACAAGAACCAGGCAAAGGGGAAAAACGCAAAGAUGUAAAUAAAUAGAAAGACGUAAGGUUAAACAAGGAAUAAAAAGAAAAUUAAAAAGACCUAACGUUAAGGUAAAUCGGACCGGUACCCUCAAUUCCCCGCGAUGCAAUAAUGUCACUCUCCCAAUUCUGCCCUUUUCACUAGGGCAAGAUACUCAGGAGAGUGCAAUUGCAAAGCCUUGUUUCUGUUUUUUUUCUUUUGUUCUGUUGACAUCAUGUUUCGUCCUUAUUUACAAAAGAACCCUCCUUUGCGGUGCCACCACGACCACAACCACCCAGCACUUCCUUUGUAGUCGAUGCCAUAGUUUCUGGACCUCCGCCGGUGGGUGCUUGUCAUCCUGAAUACUACUACCAAGAGAAAGAAAUGCUAUUGCUAAAAUAUUUUUGCUAGAAGCAUAGUUGCUAAGAAGCUAGCUAGCUAAGAAAAAGUAGAAAAGAGAGAGUUAGAUC
rnacentral:misc_RNA from 1 species